rnacentral:rRNA from 1 species
UACGGGGGGAGCAAGCGUUGUUCGGAUUUACUGGGCGUAAAGCGUGCGCAGGCGGUUUUGUAAGCCAGAUGUGAAAUCCCCGGGCUUAACCUGGGAAUGGCAUUUGGGACUGCAAGGCUGGAGUGUGGCAGAGGAGACUGGAAUUCCUGGUGUAGCAGUGAAAUGCGUAGAUAUCAGGAGGAAUACCGAUGGCGAAGGCAGGUCUCUGGGCUAACACUGACGCUCAUGCACGAAAGCGUGGGGAGCAAACAGG